GGUUGAAGGCCACGGACAUGGCCAUGCAUCUCCAGGCGCUGGAGAAGAGUUACCAAGGCAGCGACGUCUCGCAGGCAUGCUGCACACGUCCCCGUGCACUUUCCUAGGCUCUUGUGCACCUCCGUUGGCCCUCUCUUGCAACCUUGCCUUGCACCUCCCUUCCUAGCGCUAAUUCAAUCAGAGGGA
rnacentral:snRNA from 1 species